GUACAGAUUAUUACUGGUAUUACUUUAGCUAUGGAAAAAAAUUUGUGUAGCUAUAAAAUCUUACAAAUUGCUGGGACACCCUAAGUUAGGGCAAUCAGCAGGAAAGCAACAAAUAAAAUAGUUGAAUCUUCAGAGACUAAAGGUAAGACAUGUAUUUUUUUUUUAUUUUGGGCCUUGAUUAGGCUGUUGAGUAUAAUAAUACCUAGCCUAGCUAUGCAAGGCAAAAGUGAAAUUAUUGAGAGUUUAUAUAGUAAUCCUUAAAUACUAAAUAAAGACACAUGAUGAGAUAGUCCAACUUUUCGAGAGAAUAAAGA
rnacentral:ncRNA from 1 species